rnacentral:lncRNA from 1 species
GUCCGAAAACAUUAAAUGGAAAUCCGGAAGUAAAUAAUUCAUCAGUUUUAAAUUGUGCACCGUCCUGAGUAGUGUGAUGGAAUCUCGCACCAUCCCUUGUGCCCUGUAAAAUGAAGGUGUAUUCCAGAGAACAAAGGAAGGAUGGAGCUUUUAUAGAGCAUCUUUCUGCCCAGAGCUAAUCUUGGAUUAUCCAGGUGGGUCCAGUAUAAUCACAAGUCCUUAAUGUGAAAGAAGUAGGCAGAAGAAGAGUGGUGUGACAUGAGAAGGAUUCAGCAGGUCAUUGCUGGCUGUGAAGAUGGAAGGGGGCGUGAAAGCUAGCGGUAUCAACACAGAGUGGCUCAUGUGAAAACCUAAGGAAAUGGAGCCGCGAGGCCAUGAAGAAGGCGCCCUCGUGCACAUAUGCUCAUGUAGGAACUACUGGAAGAACUUCCGUGUUCCGGAUAAGCUGCCUGCCUCCUGCACAUACGCUCAUGUAGGAACUACUGGAAGAACUUCCGUGUUCCAGAUAAGCUGCCUGCCUCGUGCACAUACGCUCAUGUAGGAACUACCGGAAGAACUUCGGUGUUCCCGAUAAGCUGCCUGCCCAUGGACACUUGCCUCCUUCCAGCUCCUGCAACCAGAGAGCUUUGUCUCAAGACAGCUCAUGUGGACUUCUCAUUUUUUCCUUUUAAAAGCUUCUCUUGUCUCAGCCUGUUUGGAUAUACCUAUGGGUCUGCCAUAGCGUGCAUAUGGAUUGUAGUCC